rnacentral:rRNA from 1 species
GAUGAACGCUGACAGAAUGCUUAACACAUGCAAGUCUUUGGCGAAGCUGUGCUUGCACAGCCUAGCCAAGGCGGACGGGUGAGUAACGCGUAAGGAACUUGCCCUGCAGUCAGGGAUAACAGACGGAAACGACUGAUAAGACCUGGUAAAGUCAGGCGGACUCAUGUCCAGCCUGAUGAAAAGAGAUGCUGCAGGAGAUCCUUGCGUCCUAUUAGCUUGUUGGUGGGGUAACGGCCCACCAAGGCGAUGAUAGGUAGCCGGCCUGAGAGGGUGGACGGCCACAAGGGGACUGAGAUACGGCCCUUACUCCUACGGGAGGCAGCAGUGGGGAAUAUUGGACAAUGGGGGCAACCCUGAUCCAGCAAUUCUGUGUGCACGAUGAAGGUUUUCGGAUUGUAAAGUGCUUUCAGAAGGGAAGAAAAAAAUGACGGUACCUGCAGAAGAAGCGACGGCUAAAUACGUG